GGGUUGUGAGGUUAAGCGACUAAGCGUACACGGUGGAUGCCCUGGCAGUCAGAGGCGAUGAAGGACGUGCUAAUCUGCGAUAAGCGUCGGUAAGGUGAUAUGAACCGUUAUAACCGGCGAUUUCCGAAUGGGGAAACCCAGUGUGUUUCGACACACUAUCAUUAACUGAAUCCAUAGGUUAAUGAGGCGAACCGGGGGAACUGAAACAUCUAAGUACCCCGAGGAAAAGAAAUCAACCGAGAUUCCCCCAGUAGCGGCGAGCGAACGGGGAGGAGCCCAGAGCCUGAAUCAGUGUGUGUGUUAGUGGAAGCGUCUGGAAAGGCGCGCGAUACAGGGUGACAGCCCCGUACACAAAAAUGCACAUGCUGUGAGCUCGAUGAGUAGGGCGGGACACGUGGUAUCCUGUCUGAAUAUGGGGGGACCAUCCUCCAAGGCUAAAUACUCCUGACUGACCGAUAGUGAACCAGUACCGUGAGGGAAAGGCGAAAAGAACCCCGGCGAGGGGAGUGAAAAAGAACCUGAAACCGUGUACGUACAAGCAGUGGGAGCAUGCUUAGGCGUGUGACUGCGUACCUUUUGUAUAAUGGGUCAGCGACUUAUAUUCUGUAGCAAGGUUAACCGAAUAGGGGAGCCGAAGGGAAACCGAGUCUUAACUGGGCGUUAAGUUGCAGGGUAUAGACCCGAAACCCGGUGAUCUAGCCAUGGGCAGGUUGAAGGUUGGGUAACACUAACUGGAGGACCGAACCGACUAAUGUUGAAAAAUUAGCGGAUGACUUGUGGCUGGGGGUGAAAGGCCAAUCAAACCGGGAGAUAGCUGGUUCUCCCCGAAAGCUAUUUAGGUAGCGCCUCGUGAACUCAUCUCCGGGGGUAGAGCACUGUUUCGGCAAGGGGGUCAUCCCGACUUACCAACCCGAUGCAAACUGCGAAUACCGGAGAAUGUUAUCACGGGAGACACACGGCGGGUGCUAACGUCCGUCGUGAAGAGGGAAACAACCCAGACCGCCAGCUAAGGUCCCAAAGUCAUGGUUAAGUGGGAAACGAUGUGGGAAGGCCCAGACAGCCAGGAUGUUGGCUUAGAAGCAGCCAUCAUUUAAAGAAAGCGUAAUAGCUCACUGGUCGAGUCGGCCUGCGCGGAAGAUGUAACGGGGCUAAACCAUGCACCGAAGCUGCGGCAGCGACACUAUGUGUUGUUGGGUAGGGGAGCGUUCUGUAAGCCUGUGAAGGUGUACUGUGAGG
rnacentral:rRNA from 1 species